UGGGCACAUCGAAGGUCCGGACGCUUUCCCUGGUGUCCACAGCUCUGUGCCAGCAGGGCAGCGCCGCAGGGCUCACGAUGACGAGAAGCAGCUGAUGUGCUGACUUGCCGGGUCUCCAGUCUGAGGGCGGCUGCGGCCAGCAGGAAGCAGACCACCCCCCUCACCCGGGACGAGCCCGGAGGCUAGGGCGCGAGCCUGAGCUGCGAGCCUCGGGCUGAGGGCACAUCCUGUGGACCAGGGAGCAGCUGUCUCAGCCCAGGGCAGCGGGGACAUAGCCCUGCCCCUCCUGCCCUGUCCUGCUACGCAUCCAGCACCAGGCGAGGGAGGGCCCCCGCUCAGACCCACAGCCCACCCCGCCUGGGCUUCAGAUGCUGAGAGCCACCAGCUUCCCUCAUCGGGGACGAGGUGCAGCCACCUGUGCCCCACCCCGGGACAGAGCCACCAGCUUCCCUCAUCGGGGAUGAAGUACAGCCACCUGAACCCCACCCUGGGACAGAGUUACCAGCUUCCCUCAUCGGGACGAGGCAGAGACACCUGAAUCCUAUCCCAGGGCAGACCUACCAGCUUCCCUCAUCGGGGACGAGGCAGAGACACCUGAAUCCCAUCCUGGGAAAUGUGAGAACCAAGUAUGCGCCAAUCAGAAGGGCAGAGAGCAGCAGCCUGACAAUCGAUCGUGGGUCAGAUACAGUGUAAGCUCCAGGCAAGGGUGCAGGGCUUUGUGAUUUAAUGUGAGUUUCCCCCUCCUCUCCCACCAGGCGCUGCUCACCCCUUUGCCCUUUCUUCUUCACAAGCAGGAGGCCUGGGCGCCUCGGGAAACAAAUACAUAAGCAGAAAGCAAGGACAGAGGAGUAGCUUCUUGGAAUUUGAUGUAAAAGUUCAAGCCUUAAGUUGGAUAAAGUCAGCGAGAAGGAUUUGGGAGGAAACAUGCUAAGUGAGAGCCAGGCCCUUCUGCCUCUGUUCCUCGGGGUGCUGAACGCAGCCAGCUGAGAACUUUGUAUGGGCCUCUCCAGAGAGCUGCUCCAGGACCAGAGCUGGGAGACUGGUUACACUGCAGGAGAACCCAUUCAGAUUCAGGCUUGUUUCCGGGAAGAAACCCUGACAGAAAUUCAGAAGAACGGGAGCUGCAUUCAGUUAGGACGUGAAUACAUGAAAUGCUCAUCUCAGGACCUUCUAGAAGAAUGAGCUGGGACCCACUUUCCGAGUCCUGCCGGAACCAGAGACCGAGGUAAGGGCAUAAACUGUCCCCCACAUCAUACAUGCUUUUUUAAACAAUUUCAUGGUUAUUUUUCCAACCUAGUGAAGUGAUUGAAAACUACAGAAAACCUGGUAGGUAAGUCUCAUUAACCUUAUGUUAUCUUUUACUGUAAAUUCCAGUGAGUAAAAACACAGUGUAAUAUCAGUUUCAGGUGUACAAUAUAGAGCAACCCUUCCACACGUCACCCGGUGCUCAUCCCAGGUGCUUUCUUAAUCCCCAGCAGCUGUUUCACCCAUUCCCCAUCUCGCUGUGGAAGCCCUCAGUUUGUUUCCAAGUUAAGAGCCUGUUUGUCACUGUCUCCCCCCACCCCCCACCUUGUUUUGUUUCAUUUCCAUGUGUUAGUGAAAUCAUCUGGUAUUUGUCUUUCUGUGACAGUCUUAUUUCACCCAGUAUAACGUUCUCUCGCUCCAUCCACCUCGUGGCCAAUGACAAGAUUUCAUGUUUUUAUGGCUAAAUAAUAUUACAUUCCAUACACUACAUCUCAGUUUAUUCAUCAGUUGAUGGAUGCUCGGGCAGUUUCCGUAAUUUGGCUGUUGUAGAAAAUGCUGGUGUAAACAUCAGGGUGCAUGUAUCCCUUUGAAGAAUUAUUUUUGUAUUCUUUGUGGAAAUACUUCGUAGUGUUGUUGUUGUUGUUGUUGUUGUUGUUGUUGUUGUUGUUGUUGUUGUUGUUGUUGUUGUUGUUGUUGUUGUUGUUGUUGUUGUUGUUGUUGUUGUUGUUGUUGUUGUUGUUGUUGUUGUU
rnacentral:lncRNA from 1 species